rnacentral:lncRNA from 1 species
CGAGCCUCGUCUAAACAGAGGAAACAGGAAAGUCAUGCUACACAGAUUUGCAACUGCCAGCUUGGCCAUUCCCAUGAGAGUUCCUUUGGCCCAUCCAUGGAAAUCAACCAUCCCUCCAUUUCUCAAAAUUUCUUUACUUUACAACUGAAUCCCAAAAAGGCCUUGAGAUUUGAUGCCUGCCUACCAAUUUCAACUCAAGAAAUCGUAUGAUAACAAUCACACAUCUCCACUAUAAUUGACAUCACACUACUCCAUCAA